GAUCUCCCUCAAGCUUACCACAGACUCUGCUCUCAUUCAGCACUGACUGUACAGGAAGGGGAGACAGACAAAAGUCCCUGUUACACCCCAGCCCUGCUCUUCCUGUGGCCUGGGCUGGAUUGUUGUCAGGGAGACAACU